ACUCAAAGGAAUAGACGGGGGCCCGCACAAGCGGUGGAACAUGUGGUUUAAUUCGAAGCUACGCGAAAAACCUCACCUGGACUUGACAUACAAGAAGUAGUGAACAGAAAUGGGAACGACCCGUUAAGUCGGGAGCUUGAACAGGUGCUGCAUGGCUGUCGUCAGCUCGUGUCGUGAGAUGUUGGGUUAAGUCCCGCAACGAGCGCAACCAUUAUCCUUUGUUGCCACUUUCAUCGAGCUUGCUCGGUGAGAAGCACUCUAAGGAGACUGCCUGGGAUAACCAGGAGGAAGGUGGAGAUGACGUCAAGUCAGUACGGCCUUUAUGUCCAGGGCGACACACGUGUUACAAUGGGUGGGACAAAGGGUUGCCAACCCGCGAGGGGGAGCUAAUCUCAAAAACCCACCCCCAGUUCAGAUUGCACUCUGCAAUUCGAGUGCAUGAAGCCGGAAUCGCUAGUAAUGGCAGAUCAGCACGCUGCCGUGAAUACGUUCCCGGGCCUUGUACACACCGCCCGU
rnacentral:rRNA from 1 species